UAGCUCAGUGGUAGAGUGUGUGCUUAGCAUGCACAGGGUCCUGGGUUCAAUCCCAG
rnacentral:tRNA from 1 species